rnacentral:pre_miRNA from 1 species
CGGGUGGAUCACGAUGCAAUUUUGAUUAGUUUAGCAGGAGAAAAAUUGCACGGUAUCCAUCUGUA